rnacentral:lncRNA from 9 species
GGCCCCUACCAGCCCGCCAAACAAGCCUCUGCGGCUCACUCGAAUCCACCCGCCCGGUAUCCUCUAACUUCUCCCAAACCUGCUUUCUCAGCUAUUAUUGAUGCCUGUUUAUGUAGAGGGGUGAUACGAAGCAGGGCUCGGGAUUCCUUCUUUCCUUUCUAAAAAAGCAACUCUGGGGAUCGUUGCUUUUAAACAGAGAGGAAAUCUGGACAGCAGAAAAGAUUAUGAAACUGAGGCAACUGGAGGUAGAACAACUUUUCUAAGACCACCAGCAAGUGAGUAGUGGAGCCAGAGAGGCAAUCCAAGAGGCUGGCGGCAACUCCCUGUUCUCAACAUUCAGUCCAGCUUCCUCCUUGCUCCACCUCCCCAGUACUGUCAUCUCCAAGACUGAAGGGUGAUCAGGCAGGCUUCUCCCUAACCCGUGCUCUCCUGUGACUUGAGGUAGGUGAAGGAGCCCAGUUCACAAUCCAACAAACCUUAAAGUGGCUCACAUUCUACUAGAGAAUUCCAGAGCCCAUUUACAAAGUCUGCAUUUUUAUUUGGUUACCUAAGUAGAGAAAGAAAAUGAAUAGGUUCACAAGGAUUAAUUUUAUUACUACCCAGCAUGAAUGAGGAGAAAGUAGGUCCCUUUGUAAACAGUAAAAACUAGAGAAAGCUUCAACAGAUAACUAUUAGAACAUAAAUAAAUGAUAAAAACGGAACUUCCUUGUUAUGUUAACAAAUGUGAGCAAAAUGUGGAAAAUAUCUUAAAACAGAGAUUGUUUUACUUAAUUGUGAUACCUUUCCCCAAAUUAAGGGUCCUGAAACAGAAAUAUGAAUUUUAUCCUUUCUUACCUGAAGAUUUAAUUUUUUAGGAAAAAGUUGGCUUAAAGUUGCCUUUUUCUUCAUUACAAAAACAACACAUGACGUUUUUAAAAAGUUUUAAAACAGGGAGUUCCUGUCGUGGCUUAGCAGUAAGGAACCCAACUAGUGUCCAUGAGGAUGCGGGUUCGAUCCCUGGCCUCACUUAUUGGGUCAAGGAUCUGGUGUUGCCAUGAGCUGCGAUGUACCUUGCAGUCACGGCUUGGAUCUGGCAUUGCUGUGGCUGUGGUGUAGGCAGACAGCUAUAGCUCUAACUCAUCCCUGGCCUGGGAAUUUCCAUAUGGCACAGGUGCAGCCCUAAAAAGACAAAAUAAUUAUAAUAAUAAAAUAAAAGUUUUAAAACACAAGAGGAUAGAUAAAAUUAUAAAGUAAAAUGAGUUGUGUUGUGGAUUAAGAAUUUGACAUUGUUGGAGUUAUCUUCCUGACUCAUCAGAAAUGAAUCUGACUAGUAUCCAUGAGGAAGCAGGUUCAAUCCCUGGCCUCACUUGGUAGGUUAAGAUCUGGCGUUGCCAUGAGCUGUGGUGUAGAUCACAGAUGCAGCUCGGAUCUGGCGUUGCUGUGGCCAACACCUACAGCUCCUAUUCAACCCCUACCCUGGGCACCUCCUUAUGUGGUGGCAGUGGCCCUAAAAAGACAGAAAAUAAUAAUAAUAAUUUCUGCUGUAUAGCAGAGUGAUUCAGUUAUACAUACAUAUACAUUCUUUUUUAUAUUCUUUUCAUUAUGGUUUAUCUCAGGACGUUGAAUAUAGUUCACUGUGCUAUACAGUAGGACCUUGUUAUUUUUAUAGAUGCAAUAUAUGCAUAUAUACUGUUCUAUAUGUAAUACUUUGCAUGCACUAACCCUCAACUCCCAGUCCAUCCCUACCCCCUUGGCCACCACAUGUCUGUUUUCUGUGUCUGUGAGUCUGUUUCUAUUUUGUUAAUAGGUUCAUUUGUACUGUAUUUUAGAUCCACAUAUAAGUGAUAUCAUAUGGUAUUUGUCCUU